CCAGAUCUGAGAGAACGCUCACAAGGAUGAGCUUAAGAAGAACGAAGAUAUCAUUUCAAGGUCAGCCGAAUCAUAUUGAUGUCAGGACAGUAAAUGGAUACGGUCAUGGGGAUGAUUACAGAGGAAACAAUGAAUCAAAGAUGACUAAAUAUUCAAGGGAUGCAUUAAUUCAGCUUUUAAAUCUGGUGCAGUUGAAACUACAUCCUAGAUUUUUAUAAAGUAGAGUGUCCGCUUUGACAGGAUAUCAAUUUUUUAUGAAGUUUUCAAGCUAAUGUCACGGUUAGACUUGGUGCUGUAAAUAAGGGAUUACUGCAUGGAGGUUAGUAUUAGCUGGGAGGUUUCGGUUGCUGAAUCAAUGGUGUGAUUUUGUUGAGGCAACAUGCUCAUUUUUCUGACAGUCUGCAAACUUUGCUCCUGACUUUGAAUUGUCCAUAUCAGAGCUUGCCGCUCUGGACAUGUGCCAAAAGAGUGGUAUAUUUAAGCCAAUGACAGUGGAGAAACGUCAAGAAUUGAAGCAAAGAUGUGGGGGUUUCAUGAAAACUGGUCUUGAAGUUCUUGUUGGCUGGAGAGAGAAAUCACAGGCAAUAGUAGGGCUGGGUCACAGCAUUACUGUAACUUCAAAAGGAGCUGUCUAUUCGUUUGGCUCUAACAACUCAGGACAGCUUGGACAUGGCACCACUGAAGAGGAAAGGAGGCCUCGGCAAAUCAAGUUGCCAAUUCUUGAUCACUCAUUAGACCUGAUUAUGUAAAAUGCUGCAAGAAAAAGAAAAGAGAACUAGUUGA